UGGUGGAAUAAUAUUUCCAGUUUGUGCUGGUGUAUUCUUGGUCUCUCUUCCCUGACCCUCUCUCUCUCCCUCCCUCCCUCCCCCUCCGUGGUGGCGGCACAGCAGAGUACAAAAUUGGAGGCUGUCGUGGUUCAGUGGUAGGUUGUGCAAGUAAGUUCAGAUUAGGGACUAUCGUUCUCAUAGUAUAGUUUGCAGAGGUAGAUCUUGCAAGCGUAUCAGAUUUAGUUAAGUUUUUGUACCCUUGUCGAGAUGCAAUGCCACUGAUAAAGCUGUUUUGUUGACAUAGCUACUUUGUUCCCGAAUUUUACUGAUAUCUAUCUGAUUUUUGAACUGGUUUAUGUGUUGGCUUAGAUAGUACUCUAUAUUGAUUACUUUUUCCCUUUCAUUCCUUAAAAUCUCAUUUUUUUUCCCUGGUGGCUCUUUUGAGCUCUGACAUAGCAACAAGAUAGUAUAUCGGUUACUCGGAAACUAUUCGCCGGCGACAUCGGACACCAUUUGAACUCGUACGAACGCUCCUCUCUGGCGACCGUUGAGGCGUCCUGAGCUCCCCGCCGGUGCGCUGCUUGGCCCUGGCUGCAGUGGCCAUGCAGUGUGCCGCCGGUGUGCCAGAGCUGGCCGCGGCCGUUGGCCUGGGGCCGACGCUCAGCUGCGCUCCCCCGAAGGUGAGUUGGGCGGAUCUCGCGGAGGAGGACGAGGCGGAGGAUGGCCCGGUGGAGCGGCACGUAAAGCUCGCCCCGCCCUUGUUUGGGGAGUUCUGGGCGGCGGCACGGCCGGCUCAUCGCCGGGCCGCUGGCGCGUCGAGGAGGUCUUGGCCACGGGGCACGCCGGUGGCUCGCCGGGGCGCUGGACUUUGGGCUCCUCUGAUUCGGCGGAGCUCCGUGUGCCUCCGCAUCGGCCGUCGCUGGUUGCGUCGGGCAGGUCCCUGGCUGUGGGUGUGACAGCCGGCUCGUCCGGUGUUGGGGGUAUGGUCGGGGCGGCUGUCCCCGCCGCCGCCGGCGGUCCUGGUCGAGGGAGAUCCCCUCCGCUUGGACCCUGCCUUGCCCCCUCCGCUGCGUGGGCCGUCUGGGGCUGCGCGGCUGUUGGGCCGGUUCGCGGCCGGGCCGGGCCCAAUGCUGUGGCGACUGGUGGGCCGUCUCCCCUGGAGAUUGCCACCGCGGCCCAGUGAGCCCAGGAUAUCCUGACCCGGAUCAACCGGGAGUGGCGCCUCGCACCAGCCGAUCCGACCCGUUGGCUGUGGAUCCAACGGGGUAGAUCUAAUCUGCGGUGUGGUUGGCCGGCUUUUAGGGUCGAUGUGGCACGAGGGCACCGCUUCGCCCAUCCCAUUCACCCCGCGUCACCGCCUUCACAUUCUGCUGCUUCUUUCCCGUUCGCGUCGCCUGUUCUCUUUCCCCCGUGCUCGUCCCAGGGUGCGUUUCUCCCGCCCCCCUCGUCGUUGUCCGCCUCCGCCCCUUCGCGCCCCCGCUCAUACCUAGACGCUCUGAUGGUUCGGGACGCCGACGAUGGCCAGCCCCGGCCGAAGCGCCCGCUGCCUACUGCGGCGGAGGGCCGCCCCGAGUCGUCCUCGUCGGCGCGCCAGUCUCUGGGGGAGUCUAGGCGGCUUGAGAGGUCGUCGGCAACAUAUUCCGGCACCUUGCUACGCCGGCCGCCUCCGCCGCGUGACCCGGCCAGGGAUCCCCGUCUCCUCCUCCCUGGGUCCUCGGGUGAUGUCUGGCGCGGCGAGGCCAAUCGUCGGCGGCAGGCGGACCUGGACCGUAAGGCGGCCCUGCGGGAGGAGCUGGUGUCUCGUCCGUCUCCGGUUGCUCGGGACCGGGCGGUUUCGAACCCUCGCGAGCCUGCUGUCCGGGAUGCUCCCCGCCCCUCGGAUGGCGAUUGGCGUCGCCGUGGGUCGGGGUCGGGCAGCUCCUACGCAUGGCCCGUCUGUGCGGCAGGGGGAUGAUGGUCAGGUCUCCUGUCGGGGGGAUGACCGUCGUUCGCUGCGCGAUGCCGCCUCUGAUAGGCGGGGGGGCGAGCGCCGGCCGGUGCGGUCUUCUCCCCCGCGCCGGUCUCCGGAACAACAAGGUGCUCCUACUCAGAACAACAAGAAGAAGAAGCAUAAGAAGAAGAAGUCCCAUGGGGUGGCCGUUUGUCCAGUCCCGACCGAGGCUCCUGAGCAGGUGGCUCCGGAGCCUCCAUCUAGUGUCGGCCGCCCCAGGACCCGUGAGGAGACGAUGUGCAUCAACUGUGGCUGCGCGGGACAUUUUCGGUCGGAGUGUGAGGCCCCUCCCCGAUGCCCCACUACCCUUGCUUACCUCGGGUAUGGGACUGAGGGGGGCGACUUCUACUAUGUGGAUGCUGAGAUUGAGGAGGAGGCAGUUCAGACGCACCUGGCGACAGUCACUCUCGCCCCCGGGCAUGACUUGCCGUCUAGGGUGGUGAUCUCGGCUGCCCUCAUCCAGGCUGAGCUCGCCACCUACAUUGGCGACUUCCGCGACUCCGACUUCACUUGGGAGGUGACCGAGACGGCCCCCUCUCCUUCUCGACCCCCUUCCCGUCUGUUGAGCUGCUCCGUGUGUGUUCCCACGACUUCAUCCACUGCCCAUCCACAAGUUCAUGAUCUUCGUCCGUGCUGCUGAUGCGGAGCCUGACCCAGUGCCUUCUUGGGAAAAGGUGUGGGUCCUUGUCUACGGCUUGCCUCGUGGCGGCCGGGCGGCGCCGCGGGGUGGCAAGCUUGCCCACAUCCUUAAGGCGAUCUCCGAGCCGGUGGGCAAGCUGGUGACCGCUGAUCUGGCUUCCUUUGAGGAUGAUGGCCCCGUCCGCAUUGAGAUUCUCUACCCCGCUCCGGCCGAGAUUGAUGCUCUGUCCUUGGUAUUCUACUUCGGCAAGAAAGGAUUGCGCCUCACCUUCGAGCUUGAAUCCUCGGCCCCUCAAGAUCUGCUUGGGCCGGCACCUGAUGGCACUGUGCCUCAUCAGGGUGAGGGGCAUGGUGGCGAUGGGGCCUCAUCUGGGGAGAGCUCCUCUGGUGAGGAUGAUGAUGAUGAGGUUCCGCCUGCUACGUCUGAUGGGCGGCGUAGCCCAGUUUCUACUAGUGGUGGGUCUUCCUUCCCUGCCGGGGUGGCCUCUCUGGUGGCGUUGGGGGGUGGGUCUGUGGUCAUGGCAGUCCCUCCCCCUAUCGCAACCCCAGUGGCUGACCCGAAGUUCAUGGAGGAGGACGUGGUGAGUGUGGGGAUGGAGGUGCGCCCCUCAUCAUCACCGCGCUCUCCUGGGGUGGUCUGCUACUCACGGUCGCUGGGGUCCCCCCUUCUCCAGCCUUGGGGUCCCCGGACCUGGAGCCGUUUCCGCCCUUGGACCUGGCCGUGGUGACCCCUACCGCGACGGGCUCCAAGCUUUGGGGCGGGGCCUCUUCACUGGUGGCCGCACGUUAGAGUGCGCGACUGAGCCAGUCCCGGGUCCUUCUGGAUGGCCGUGUUCCGUCGAUCCAGGAGAAGGCUGCCAUGCGGGCGGCUGCCCGUGACUUGUCCCUAGUUACUCCCCCCAUCCCUUCUGGUCCUUCCUGUUCUAGUUCUCGGUUUUCUGUGCUUGGCUCCGCUCCGUUGUCUCAUCUGGCAGAGGUGGCUUCCGAUAGUGGCAUCGUGUUCCGUGGCGAGAAGGGGCCCAUCCUUGAGCAGAUCUCUGCUAUUUGCGCCAACGAGCGGCUUGAUGGGGCAUUGGGUGAAGCCCGUGCUUGUGCUGCGUGUGGUGACCCCAGCACCCCGACGAACACUGACCCUAGUCAUAGAGAGACCAGGAAUAGUGUUGCGCCUCCUCUAGAGACUGUGGUGGAGACUCCCUCGGCAGUCCCUUCCCCGGUGAGGGAGCUGCAUGGGCGUCCUCCCACUCGUCUCAACCCCACUGAACACCGAUUAGAGGUGUGUGGGUCUACCUCCAGGUCCGCUUCCCUCGAACCGGAGUCCUCCGCUGCCCCCCUACGCGGGGGCGGCGUGGCCGUCUGGUGAAGGCACCCCCCGACCCGCGAUUGAUGGGCGGGCUAGCUCGGCCCCGCUUGCGGGGCCUAUGAACUCCACUGAGGUUAUUAAAUGAAGCUCCUAUGUUGGAACAUCAUGGGCUUCGUCCUCACUGGCCGGAGGCGUCAGCUCAUCGAGUAUUUGCGCCAAGAGGAGAUUGACAUUGUGGGCUUGCAAGAGACGAUUCGCCAAGACUUUAGUAUGCAUGAGCUCCAGGGGCCGUCCCGCCACCAGUUUGCCUGGCAGUGGUUGCCUUCUACGGGGCAGUCUGGCAGUAUUUUGCUCGGAGUUCGGGAGGAUGUUUUCUCGGUUGAGGAUAUGGACCAAGGGGAAUUCUUCCUGAGCAUGUCCGUUACUGACCGACGAGUCCACUUCAGCUGGGAGGUGAUUUUCGUCUAUGGUAUUGUGGAUCAUGCUCGCUCUGCUGGCUUCUUCGCCGAGCUUAAAAAUAAGGUGGAGAGGUGCACCACCCCGGUGGUGGUGGCCGGUGACUUCAACCUCAUUAGGUGGGCUUUUGAUAAAAGCUCACCUAAUGUUGAUCGGGUCCGCAUGCAUCUAUUUAACGACUGCAUUGUGGACCUUGCGCUCCAUGAGAUAGCCCGCGUAGGGGCUAGGUUCACGUGGAUGAAUAAGCAGGCGGACCCCAUCUGGAGUGUCUUGGAUCGGGUUUUUGUGUCGGCUCAGUGGGAGGUGAUGUUCCCAUUGUGUUCUCUCAAGGCGGUCACUCGGAUUGGCUCCGAUCAUAUCCCUCUGUUGUUCUCGUCAGGGGAUGAGGCCCCCUAUGACUCGUCGCUUCUGCUUCGAGACAUUUUGGCUGGAGCAAUCAGGUUUCUUUGAGAUGGUUCGCGACCGCUGGCUAGAGGCGGUCGCAUCCCCGCCCCGUGUGUUUUGUGUUGUGGAUGUCUGGCAUCACUGUGUGAAACUGUCUUGUCAGGCCAUGAAGGGCUGGGGGGGCGAAUCUUGGUGCUGAUCUCGGGCCCGUAAAGGGGCCUUGCUGGAUCGGAUUAAGGUUUUGGAUGACCUUGCUAAUGGGCAGGGCUUGUGUCCUGACGACUGGCUUAGGAUAUACGCCCUCGAGUCCUCGCUCAUGGACAUCUACAAGAGCGAGGAGCUCUUCUGGCAGCGUCGAGGGGGCUAGAACUAACUCCUUAAGGGGGAUGCGAACACUGCCUACUUCCGGGCGAUUGCUAAUGGUCGCAGGCGGAAGUGUGCCAUCCCUUUCCUCUGGGACGGGGAUGUUCUUCUGGAAAGCCUAGAGGACAUCUCCACCCAUAUUUACUCCUUCUAUAAGGAGCUGUUCUCGGCUGAGCCACGUGGAGGCGUCUCUCUCUGCGCUGACUUCUGGCCACUUGCUGACCAGGUCUCCGAUGCGGAGAAUGUGGAUCUUACUCUCCCGUUCUCCCCUGAGGAGGUUGGUCGAGCGAUUACCUCUAUGAAGGCUUGCUCGGCCCUGGGACCGGAUGGGCUCCCGGUAGUCUUUUUCCAGAAAUUCUGGGAGAUCUUACGCCCGGUCAUUAUGCCCAUGUUUCAUGAGUUCUAUAUAGGAACCUUGGACAUGGCUAGGAUUAACUAUGGUGUCACAUCCGUGAUCCCCAAAGUAGUUGGGGCGACGGAUAUUCGGCACUUCUGCCCCAUCACGGUGAUCAACGUGUUGGAGCGAAUCUUUGCGAAGGUUUGCGCAACUCGCUUAUCCCCGGUGGCGGAAAGGAUUGCCCACCCCCUCCAGUCCGCGUUCCUGAAGGGCCGGUGGAUCCAUGACGGUAUCCUAGCCCUUCACGAGAUCGUCCAUGAGGUGGUGUCGAAGGGGCUUAAGGGGGUCUUCCUCAAAUUGGACUUUCAGAAGGCGUAUGACCGGCUGGAUUGGUCCUUUUUGAGGUUGGUAAUGGAACGGCGCGGCUUUGACGAGAGGUGGUGUUCCUGGAUCAUGCAACUGGUUAGAUCUAGGAACACGUCGAUCAACAUCAAUGGCGAAGUGGGACCUUUUUUCCAGGCUUCCAGAGGGGUAAAGCAACGGGACCCUAUCUCCCCCUUGCUUUUCAACCUUGCAGUUGAUGCCCUUAAGGGUGUAGUUAGUCACCUCAUCCUGGAGGGGGCUUACUCACUUGCAGUAUGCGGAUGAUACCACGAUUAUGGUGGAAGGCUCGGACUCGGACAUUGUUAAUCUUAAGUUCCUGCUACUCUGCUUUGAGGAAAUGUCUGGACUUAAGAUUAACUUUGAUAAAAGUGAGGUGGUGGUCUUUGUCUAUUCUAAGGCUGUCCAGCUUCGGAUUGCUGAUAACCUCAACUGUAGGCUGGCGACAUUCCCCAUAUCUUACUUGCGGAUGCCCCUGGCUGAGUCCAGGAUCUUGGUGAGUGGGUAUGAUCUGCUUGUGGGACGAGUAGCAUCCCGUGCAGAGCCCUGGUGUGGUAGGUUCACCUCUAAGGGUAGCAAACUGUCCUCGUUAGGUUUUUUUGGCAGGCAGGAGAUGGUCGGCCCAAGUACCAUAUGGUGAAGUGGGCUGACAUUUGCUUGCCGAAGGACCGAGGUGGGUUGGGCAUCCCUGCAUCUCACCGGAUGAACGUUACGCUUAUGCUGCGUUGGGUUUGGCGGAUCUUGCGGGGAGAUGGGGGGCUGUGGUUGCAGCUGGUUGAGUCCAAGUACUUGCAGGGCCAACCCCUCUUGUCUUGCUCACAGUCGGCUGGGUCCCAGUUCUGAAAAUCUAUUCAGACCAUCAAGGAAGAUAUUAGGCUGGGUUUGCGUUUCUUGGUUGGUAAUGGGUCUGGAACCCAAUUUUGGUUGGACCCAUGGCUUGAGGGCAAGCCUCUCCGCUUGUGGUUCUCGCGGCUCUUUGCGAUUUGUGAGGACCCGACCAUUCUUGUAUUUGCAGCUGCUUUGGAGGAAGGAUGGAACAUUGCGUUCCGCCGCUCCUUCGGACCUGAUGAGGUACAGGAAUGUGACGACCUGAGGGAAGUAGUCCCUCUGCUUCUGUCCUUGGAUCCUGACACUAUUUCUUGGAGCCUUUCCCCUUCGGGAGAAUUCUCCGUUAGUUCAGCCUAUCAGGCGUUAUGUCGGAUGCCAGUUCUACAGUAGUUAGCCCCACUGUGGAAGGCACCGUUACCCUUAAAGAUUAAGAUUUUUGUUUGGCAGCUUCUCCGAGACCGUCUACCUUCGGGGACCGAGGUCUUGAAACGCCAUGGUCCGGGCAAUGGACUUUGCCAUUUGUGCCAUAUCCCAGAAAUGGGAACGCACAUUUUGUUUUCUUGCGUAGCAGCGCUAGCACUUUGGUGCUUCGUACAUGAGGCUUUAGGGCCAGAGUGGGAGGCCCAUGACCUUGCAGGGUUUUUGCGGGUUAGGGCUACUCAGGUUGGCCGUAAGCACCGACUAUUCUGGCUCAUCUUCGCAGCUAUGAUGUGGACUCUCUAGACUACUCGCAAUAAGAUGGUGAUUGAGCGGGUGUUCCCACGAUGUGCUUCUGACUCGUUCUUCAAAUUUCUUGCCUUCCUGCAGCACUGGCAUCUGCUCGCUAGGCCGAGGGAUUGUGAUCGUCUUCAGCUUUUCCUGGAUGCCCUGGUGUCUAUCGCGCGUCGGCUCUCCGGCUUCGUAGCUUGCCCCUAGUGGCUUUGUGUUUCUUCUUCUUUCAUUUGGGCGUCCUUGUGUUGUGGCCCCAACAUUUCUCGUUUAUGACAGUGCUUGAGAUGUGGUUGUAUGGACAUAUGCUUUAUCUAUAAAGCGAGGCGAAAGCCUAUUUCGAGAUCUAGGUUACUCGUAGGCAAUACCUUUCCUGUGAUAUCACAUUUGUUGUGCUCUUGACUCUUUUUCUUCUUAUCUUGCAGGUACUCAAAUAGUUGCCUUAUUUCUCCUUCUGCUAAUAAAUGUGAUAAUGGACAACCUUGGUACAUAGGGAAAAUGAGAGGCAAAGGCCAGACCCCUAUUAUGCACAUCAUACUUAGAUUUCUGUAAUUCGUCAUGAAUGCUUAUUGUGCAAGGUUUUAUAUUUCUAUAUUUGUUCUUUGACAUAUGGAAGUUACACUUGUGAGUAAUUGGGUCAUAGAACAUUGAUUUGAUUUAUCUUCUGUCGGUAAGCAUUGUCCUGUAACAAACAUUUAGUAAGGGCAUAUAUAAUCGAGGGAUAAGCAAUCUAUGAUAUUAUACCUUACUACUCAGCUAAGUUCUGGAGUUUGAG
rnacentral:lncRNA from 1 species